rfam:Streptomyces qinglanensis strain SCSIO M10379 scaffold1, whole genome shotgun sequence.
UUCGGUGGUCAUAGCGUGAGGGAAACGCCCGGUCACAUUCCGAACCCGGAAGCUAAGCCUUUCAGCGCCGAUGGUACUGCAUGCGGGAGCGUGUGGGAGAGUAGGACGCCGCCGAAC